rnacentral:rRNA from 1 species
AACGAACGCUGGCGGCAUGCCUAACACAUGCAAGUCGAACGAGACCUUCGGGUCUAGUGGCGCACGGGUGCGUAACGCGUGGGAACCUGCCCUUAGGUUCGGAAUAACUCCCCGAAAGGGGUGCUAAUACCGGAUAAUGUCUUCGGACCAAAGAUUUAUCGGCUUUGGAUGGGCCCGCGUUGGAUUAGCUAGUUGGUAGGGUAAAAGCCUACCAAGGCGACGAUCCAUAGCUGGUCUGAGAGGAUGAUCAGCCACACUGGGACUGAGACACGGCCCAGACUCCUACGGGAGGCAGCAGUGGGGAAUAUUAGACGAUGGGCGCAAGCCUGAUCCAGCAAUGCCGCGUGAGUGAUGAAGGCCUUAGGGUUGUAAAGCUCUUUUACCCGGGAUGAUAAUGACAGUACCGGGAGAAUAAGCUCCGGCUAACUCCGUG